ensembl:lncRNA
CACACACACACACACACACACACACACACACACACACACACACACACACACACACACACACACACACACACACACACACACGGUGGGGAGGUGCAUAGUGAGAGUAUAGUUACGCUGCCUGCGAUCAGUUUGGUAAACAGACGCACAAGGUGGACGGCUGUUGGCGGACAAGAGUCACUGAUCUGGCUGUGUGCGUGGGUUUGUGUGUGUGUGUAGGGGUGUGUUUGUGUGUUUGUGUGUGGGUGUGUGUGUGUCUUUCAAUGGGGGAGCCCAAGCCCAUCUGUCUGCCUGUCCAGCUCACAACUAAGGUAGUGGGGACCGAAGCCUGGAAUCCUACUCUUUCUUUCUUUCUUUCUUUCUUUCUUUCUUUCUUUCUUUCUUUCUUUCUUUCUUUCUUUCUUUCUUUCUUUCUUUCUUUCUUUCUUUCUUUCUUUCUUUCUUUCUUUCUUUCUUUCUUUCUCUGUGUCUUCCUUCCUUCCUCCUUCCUUCCUCCUUCCUUCCUUCCUUCCUUCCUCCAUUUAUUUUCUUCCUUCCUUUCUUUCUUUAAUUCCUUCUUUCUUUCCUUCCUUAAUUCCUUCUCUCUCUCCUCUCUCAUUUCAUUCUCUAUAUCAAUGUGUUUUCCCCCUUCUCUCAGUCCAUUCUUCUUCUCUCUCAGUCCUCCGUUCUUCUCUCUCUCAGUCCGUUCUUCUUCUCUCCCAGUCCGUUCUUCUUCUCUCCCAGUCCGUUCUUCUUCUCUCCCAGUCCGUUCUUCUUCUCUCCCAGUCCGUUCUCCAUAUCCAGUUAGUUCCAGCAGCUGUGUCUCCACGUCUCCAUCCAGAACAUUAAUCAUUUUCAGCAUGGCUCGGGGAACCCUGGAGCAGUUGUGUGUGUCCAUGGUGCGUGUGUGUAUGUGUGUGUGUCCAUGGUGCUUGUGUGUAUGUAUGUGUGUGUGUGUGUGUGUGUGUGUGUGUAUGUGUGCGCGUGUGUGUGUGUCUGCUCUUCAGAACCGUUCUCUGCCUAGCCUGCUCCUACCAGUGCUGAUGUCAGCUGUUGCGUCACAUGUCCCCAGGCUGUUGGUGAUUAUGGGAUGAGUUAUGUGGUCAGCUGCCAUGGCGACCAGAGAAGGUGUGGCGGGAUGGGGUGCAUGAGUUCAUGACCACAGCGUCACAUGAUGCCACCACCUCCUCCACCACCUCCUCCACCACAACCUCCUCCACCUCCCCGACCACCUCCACCACCUUCAUCUCCUCCACCUCCUCCUACACUUCCUCCACCUCCUCCUCCUCCUCCACCUCCCCACCUCAUCCACCACCUCCUCCACCUCCCCACCCACCACAGUCUCCACCUCCUCCACCACCUCCUCCACCUCCUCCACCACCUCCUCCACCUCCCCCACCACCGCCUCCAUCUCCACCUGGGCGGAGGCACCACCCACGCGGGCCGUCCAAUCACAGCUCAGUGCGGGCGUGUGAACAUCUGCCUGGGCAGGGCCCUUCCAGAUGUUCAGACGGUACAGGGUUUCUGUUUGAACGUCUCCGCCGUCAUGAGGGGCUGAGCACGGGAAGGGCUCAGACCUCAGAGUCUCCACCCCCUCAACCCACCCUGCACCUGGUUCCUCACGCUGUGGUUCCACAUACUGGGGCUCCUUCAGAGUCAGGUGACUCUCCCCGUCCCGCUGGCUGUCCAAUGGGAGGCGCUCUGUCGUUACUGCUGGACUGUCCAUCUCUCCGUCCCCUGGACCUCCAGACCUCUCCCUCUCCCCUCCUGGCUCCUCAGCGUCCGGCGCUGAACGGUGGGCUCCAGGUCCCGGGGUUCCUUCCCGGGUCAUCCUCAGGCCCCGGUGUGUUGUACCGGGCACCAGACCUCCGGGGGUCCGGUGAGGUCUGGUGUUUGGGCGUUGAACCAGCAGCUCCUGCUCCU